rnacentral:rRNA from 1 species
UACGGGGGGGGCAAGCGUUGUUCGGAAUUACUGGGCGUAAAGGGCUCGUAGGCGGCCAACUAAGUCAGACGUGAAAUCCCUCAGCUUAACUGGGGAACUGCGUCUGAUACUGGAUGGCUAGAGUGUGGGAGAGGGAUGCGGAAUUCCAGGUGUAGCGGUGAAAUGCGUAGAUAUCAGGAGGAACACCGGUGGCGAAGGCGGGUCUCUGGGCAACAACUGACGCUGAGGAGCGAAAGCGUGGGGAGCGAACAGG